CUACCCUCGGCGGAGAGCGAAGGCUCGCACCGGCCGUGGCAUCCAAUCCCUGUCCUGCCAGCUAUAGCCGGGCGGGGAGGAGGGAGCGGUUCCGGGUUCAGAAAGAGAAAAUCUCCAUCUAAGGCGAAGGGGUAGAAGGGAGGUCGAGGGAAGGCAAUAAAGUCACUUGUUUAAUCUCCUCUAUGCUGUAAAAUCCCCGAAGGCAGAAAUCACAUAGUCCUAAGUGUAUGGCACACAGAAGACGCUCAAUAAAUGGCUGAUUGGCAACUGGCCAUCGGACCCUGCUCGGAUGCAGCGCCAGUCCCGCCGCCCUACGCAGCAGUCCCCUCACCCCUCUCCCCCGGCGUCCUCCCUGCUGUGACAAGGCAAAUGAGACAAUGGGUUCGGCCAACCAACGCUUCCAAGCCUGCGGCCCGCGGCCGGGAAGUGUCCUCAAUCCGCUCGUCUAACACUGCAGUGGGUGCGGCCAAAGACCCCAGUCCACUCUCCGCGCCCCUGCCAAUGGGCGGGAAGCGGGGCCUCAGCCUCACUGCGCUGGCUCUGCCAGUGGCAGACGGAAUCAUCAGCCAACCGCACCCGGGCAGGACGCAUGCGCACCCAGAAGAUGUAGCCCUAGAUGGGGAAAAACCGAGCCGAGAGAGCCAAUUUUGGCUGGGUCUUGCCAGGUCUUGCCAGGUCUUCCCGGAGAGGGUGCGCAUGCGUAAAUCGAACACCUCCUCUAAAUCUAACGCCCUGCUCAGUUCUAGAGGGGACAGCGCCCUCUGUCCUCCUGGCCGUUUUCCUGAACUCCUAACCUCAGUCAAUACUGCCUCGGGACCUGGCGCUGCCUGGGAGAUCCAGAAGAAAGGAAGCAUCUUGGCCCCUGCCUUGGGGGCGACACGACCGUCCCCAAACACAGCGAGUCACUGGCCUGGGUCUUUGUGCAGAGGCCCCUCUAGGAGCGGGGAACCAACGAUGGCACGAACAUUGAUUUGAGGAGGAUGCUUCGCAGUUUACGAAAAAAUGAGUGCUAGAGGCGUUCAGAAACGGGAAAGAUCACUUUGUGCUCCUGUGAUCUGAAGGCUGCGUGAAGAAGAUGAGGCUUGGAAAAUAGGUACAAAG
rnacentral:lncRNA from 1 species